UUGGGGGAUGACCUGUGGAUCGGAGUGAAAGGCUAAUCAAACCCAGUAAUAGCUGGUUCUCCCCGAAAUAGCUUUAGGGCUAGCCUUAUGUGUUCAGCGGUGGAGGUAGAGCUCUAAUUGGACUAGCGGCCCUACCAGGUUAGCAACUCCAGUUAAACUACAAAUGCCAUCGUUCCAAAGCAUAGGAGUCAGUCAGUGGGGGAUAAGCUCCAUUGACGAAAGGGAAACAGCCCGGACCGCCAGCUAAGGUCCCUAAAUACAAGUUAAGUGGCAAAGGAUGUUUUGUUACAUAGACAGCCAGGAUGUUGGCUUAGAAGCAGCCAUUCAUUUAAAGAGUGCGUAACAGCUCACUGGUCAAGCGACUUUGCACCGAAAAUUUCAGGGGCUUAAACUUGUUACCGAAGCUGCGGAUUGUCCUCGUUUACGAGGAUAGUGGUAGGGGAGCGUUCUAUAGUAGGUUGAAGGAGAAUUGAAAAACUCUCUGGACAAAUUAGAAGUGAUCAUGCCGGCAUGAGUAGCGAUAAAACAAGUGAGAAGCUUGUUCGCCGUAAGCCUAAGGUUUCCUGUGGAAGGCAAGUCCACACAGGGUUAGUCGCGUCCUAAGUCGAGGCUGAAGAGCGUAGACGAUGGGCAACAGGUUAAUAUUCCUGUACCACCACCAGGCGAUUGAAUCUAGGAGAGACGCAAACAUUAGAAUCUACUAGCGGAUGGAAGUGCUAGGUCAAGCGGACGGAGGUUCCGGUUAAUCCCGGAAAUUACCUCUGAAAGUGAUGAGGUGUCCUUAAGGACUGAACUGGUUCGGUUGUUUGCCAAGAAAAGAACUCCGAGAGGACAAAUGGUGGUGUGCGUACCGCAAACCGACACAGGUAGGCAAGGAGAAUAUCCUAAGGCGCUCGAGAGAACUCUCGCUAAGGAACUCGGCAAAAUGGCUCCGUAACUUCGGGAGAAGGAGUGCUUGAGUUGACUGGUUCGCCAGUCUAGCGAAAGCCGCAGUGAAAAGGCCCAUACGACUGUUUACUAAAAACACAGGUCUGUGCUAAAUCGUAAGAUGAUGUAUACGGACUGACGCCUGCCCGGUGCUGAAAAGUUAAGGAGAGGGGUUAGAGCUUAGGCUCGAAGCUCUGAACCGAAGCUUCAGUAAACGGCGGCGGUAACUAUAACCGUCCUAAGGUAGCGAAAUUCCUCGUCGGGUAAAAUCCGACCUGCACGAAUGGCGUAACGAUAUGGGCACUGUCUCAGCGAGAGACUCGGUGAAAUUGUAUUAUCGGUGAAGAUGCCGAUUACCCGUAAAAAGACGGAAAGACCCCGUGAACCUUUACUAUAGCUUGAUAUUGAAUUUGGAUUUAGCUUGUGUAGGAUAGGUGGGAGACUUUGAAGCUGGAGCGCUAGCCCCAGUGGAGUCGCCCUUGAAAUACCACUCUUGUUGUAUCUAAAUCCUAACUCUGGUUUGUAUAUCCAAGCCGAGGACAGUGUCAGGUGGGUAGUUUGACUGGGGCGGUCGCCUCCUAAAGCGUAACGGAGGCGCCCUAAGGUUCCCUCAGCGUGAUUGGAAACCACGCGUAGAGUGUAAAGGCAUAAGGGAGCUUGACUGCAAGACAGACAUGUCGAGCAGGUGCGAAAGCAGGGCUUAGUGAUCUUGCGAUUCCGUGUGGAAGGGUCGUAACUCAACGGAUAAAAGGUACUCCGGGGAUAACAGGCUUAUCGCGCCCAAGAGUUCAUAUCGACGGCGCGGU
rnacentral:rRNA from 1 species